rnacentral:rRNA from 1 species
ACUCAAAUGAAUUGACGGGGGCCCGCACAAGCGGUGGAGCAUGUGGUUUAAUUCGAUGCAACGCGAAGAACCUUACCUACCCUUGACAUACAGUGAAUGAUGCAGAGAUGCAUUAGUGCCGCGAGGAGCACUGAUACAGGUGCUGCAUGGCUGUCGUCAGCUCGUGUCGUGAGAUGUUGGGUUAAGUCCCGUAACGAGCGCAACCCUUGUUCUUAGUUACCAGCACGUUAAGGUGGGGACUCUAAGGAGACUGCCGGUGUCAAACCGGAGGAAGGCGGGGACGACGUCAAGUCAUCAUGGCCCUUAUGGGUAGGGCUACACACGUGCUACAAUGGUUAGUACAGAGGGAAGCGAAUGGGUGACCUGGAGCAAAUCCUACAAAGCUAAUCGUAGUCCGGAUUGGAGUCUGCAAUUCGACUCCAUGAAGUUGGAAUCGCUAGUAAUCGCGAAUCAGCAUGUCGCGGUGAAUACGUUCCCGGGCCUUGCACACACCGCCCGU